GGGGAGCUGGAGUCAGUUGGCUGCUUUAUAAAUAAGAAAGAGUUAGUGCUCUGAGGAGAAGCUCACAAGAAACACCAAGAAGGAAGUAGACGGAAAUAGCACAGAAGUUUUAAAUAAACUGAAAAUCACUCAGGAAAAUCAAAGAAUCAGAAUAUUCAAAGGUGGAAGGGACCCAGAAGGAUCAUCCAAGUCUGACUCUUGGCCCUGCACAGGACAGCCCCAAGAAUGACACCAUGUGCUCAAGAGCAUUGUUCAAACGCUUCUCCAACUCUGACAGCCUUG